UACAACAUAGCGUUAAUGUAUCAAAUCCCAUUAGAACUUUGCAGUUAAGCGCGCUCGAGCGAGAGUAGUACUAGGAUGGGUGACCACCCGGGAAGUCCUAGUGUUUUAC
rnacentral:rRNA from 1 species